rnacentral:rRNA from 1 species
CCCUUAGAUGUCCUGGGCCGCACGCGCGCUACACUGAUGCAUUCAACGAGUAUUUCCUUGGCCGAGAGGCCUGGGCAAUCUUUUAAACCUGCAUCGUGAUAGGGAUAGAUUAUUGCAAUUAUUAAUCUUGAACGAGGAAUUCCUAGUAAACGCAAAUCAUCAAUUUGCAUUGAUUGCGUCCCUGCCCUUUGUACACACCGCCCGUCGCACCUACCGAUUGAAUGGUCCGGUGAAAUCUCGGGAUUGUGGCCAGUUCACUUUAUUGGGAGUUGGCUGCGAGAACUUGCUUAAACCUUAUCAUUUAGAGGAAGGUGAAGUCGUAACA